CGUGCUUGGCAAUAGCAUUUAGAUGUUUUGUGGAUGUGCUUUCUCUCUCGAAAUGUGGUGUUCUAUCGACGGAGAAAGAUUUAUUAAGGGAAUAUCGCAAUGACGAGCUGAAAAGUAUGGUGAAGACUGACCAACCAAUCUAAAUAUUUACUCAAAAUGCCCAAUUCUCAUCCGACAUUUGUUGUUUGGUCGACUUGAACAAAUGUUACUUUUCACAAAACAAUUUUCCAGAAUCUUCACUUACAACAUUCUGUCCUCUCUUCCCACCAAUCAUGAUAUGUGAAUUACAAGCAUUUUUGGUCAUGGAAUCUUGCAUCUGCCAAUACAUCCCCUAUAAGUUUUUAGGCCAAAUCUCAGAAGAAGAGCUUCUCACCUUCAUGAACACUGAGGAAAGCCCCAACACCAUGACCAGUUCCAUGGAGGUAAUUUAACCCAACCUCCCACAGUGGGCCACGGGCCAGAACAUCAAUACUAUUCAUGGGGACAUCAGAGGGAAAAACAAGUGAUGCCAAUUGGAUGGAACCCAUCAGUACACGUGUGUAUGCUUCACGUUCAAAAUCUGUCGGAGUUCCUAGAUGAAUUGUACGUGUUACGUCUGUUGUACCAUCUGAAAAAUGAAAUAAUUUUCUUUCAUUCAGCUAUAUGAGGAAAUAUUUGGCAGCAACAAUUUUUUAUAAAUACAAGAGAAAAGUUCAAAGGAAUCAUGGUACUGGUAAUUAUUCCUACCUAGAUAAUGUCCACCAGAAUCCAACACCAACAUACUGCUGCCAUCAAUUAGGAGCACAUUACUACUAUCAGAUGGUAAGUAGUGAGGAUAUGCUCCAUUUGGCCCAAAGCCUGCAAUAGUAGAGAAACUGGGACCUUUUGAAAGAUUUUGUUCUCGGCGAAAUUGAUCCAGCUCUUUUGCAACUUGCAGCUCAUCCCAUUGUUCACCUGCAGCUGUCUGAACAAGUCAACAAUGAUCAAAGUGAUAUGAGACAGAACAAAAUGGGGGAGACAAAAAAGAGUUAUAUAUGAAGAAAUAACAGCUUAAAGUCUAAUCUGAUUAUAAUACUUAGAGGUGGGCUGUAUUUUAAUCCAUAAUCUCAGAGUCGGUUACCCCUGAAAACCAAAAUUAAUAACUGGCAUUUGUGGAGUACAAGUUGAAGAUUAAUGUUCUAUAGAAAUAUGAGGCAAUGAAUCAAUGUGACAAACUCACCGAUUCUUCAAAGUGGGCAAAGAAAUCACAAAGAGCAACUGCGUCUCGGAUGUGUGCCCGUCUCAUGCCAUCUAUCUCGAUGUGGUUCUUGCGUGCUUUCAUGAAUAUGAUGGGUGAAGACGUGACCAAUUGUUUCCCUGGAGGAAUCUGCACAUAGGAUCUGCACCA